ACAUCGUGCGAUAUGGGCUAAGAAGAUAACUACCGUGAAAAAAGAGAUCGAUCUCUCACCUCUAAACCUAGCGCCGCCAUGCCAUGCCGCCUCCUUUGCCAAGCUCCUCUCCUUCCUACACCGGACUCGCCAUCGUAGGUCCACCGCCAUGCGCUCGCCGGCCGCCAGCAGCAGCCCCGGGGACGCUGUCCUCCUGGUGGCGGCCCAGCCCCAGUACGCCCGUCCUGCAGGCGGCGGCCCAGCCUCAGGAACACGGUGAUUUGGAGGCCAUGAGGGAUCCUGCGAUCGAGCGCACAAGGCCUGGUCACUGGAUCUUUAGCAACAGCUUGGCCAGUUCAUCGUAGAUUACGGACACUCACGUAUGCAGGUGUUUGACAAACAACCUCUGAGAAUACCCUGAUAAUACAAGAUGUAUGUCUCUACACUUCAUAUGGUUACAUGACAUCUACCAAACUAGAUUGAACUUCUGCAGUGCAUGUUUACCUCGAUGUGAAAAAACAUCUAUGUACGAAUUUUAAAGGCAGCAACCACAAGGAUAAACUAGAGAGGCAGAGAAAACAAGGAUCUAUUGUUCCACUAUCAACAUGUAGAUACUACAAGUCAUAUAUGUAUCAACUAGUUUGUGAGACAUGUAAUUCUUUUAUAGACGAUGUGUACAAUUGACUUUGUAAACUACUACUGGCUCCCUCUCUCAGUUAUGCUGUAAUACAACAUUAUUAUUUUGUGCUAGUAUCAUCCUAUGUAGAGCUAGUAUUAAGGCUUAGAUAUUAUUGGUGUCAACAACCAUGAGAACUCAGUCCCUGUAUGUUAAACUGCUGUUAUUUCUGUACAUAUACUUCUUUGUAAAUUGUUGUUAUUUUUUCUUACAAAUAUACUUCAUGCAUUCUCACCUUAGCGAAUCCAUCAAUUACAUCAAGAUUUAUCUCUCUUUUUACAGUAUGUCUCUACACUUCAUAUGGUUACAUGACAUCUACCAAACUAGAUUGAACUUCUGCAGUGCAUGUUUACCUCGAUGUGAAAAAACAUCUAUGUACGAAUUUUAAAGGCAGCAACCACAAGGAUAAACUAGAGAGGCAGAGAAAACAAGGAUCUAUUGUUCCACUAUCAACAUGUAGAUACUACAAGUCAUAUAUGUAUCAACUAGUUUGUGAGACAUGUAAUUCUUUUAUAGACGAUGUGUACAAUUGACUUUGUAAACUACUACUGGCUCCCUCUCUCAGUUAUGCUGUAAUACAACAUUAUUAUUUUGUGCUAGUAUCAUCCUAUGUAGAGCUAGUAUUAAGGCUUAGAUAUUAUUGGUGUCAACAACCAUGAGAACUCAGUCCCUGUAUGUUAAACUGCUGUUAUUUCUGUACAUAUACUUCUUUGUAAAUUGUUGUUAUUUUUUCUUACAAAUAUACUUCAUGCAUUCUCACCUUAGCGAAUCCAUCAAUUACAUCAAGAUUUAUCUCUCUUUUUACAGUAUGUCUCUACACUUCAUAUGGUUACAUGACAUCUACCAAACUAGAUUGAACUUCUGCAGUGCAUGUUUACCUCGAUGUGGUAUGUAAAUAUCGCUCUUCUCUAUUCUUAUGGUUGUCUAUUCAGUGAAGUAAAAAUUACUAGUAGAAGUUCCAAUGAAUUUAUUUAUAUCUCAUUUGCCUUUCUUUGCAGAAAAAACAUCUAUGUACGAAUUUUAAAGGCAACAACCACAAGGAUAAACUAGAGAGGCAGAGAAAACAAGGAUCUAUUGUUCCACUAUCAACAUGUAGAUACUACAAGUCAUAUAUGUAUCAACUAGUUUGUGAGACAUGUAAUUCUUUUAUAGACGAUGUGUACAAUUGACUUUGUAAACUACUACUGGCUCCCUCUCUCA